rnacentral:rRNA from 1 species
AUUGAACGCUGGCGGCAUGCUUUACACAUGCAAGUCGAACGGUAGCGCGGGGCAACCUGGCGGCGAGUGGCGAACGGGUGAGUAAUACAUCGGAACGUACCCAGAAGUGGGGGAUAACGUAGCGAAAGUUACGCUAAUACCGCAUACGUUCUACGGAAGAAAGUGGGGGACCUUCGGGCCUCAUGCUUUUGGAGCGGCCGAUGUCUGAUUAGCUAGUUGGUGAGGUAAAGGCUCACCAAGGCGACGAUCAGUAGCUGGUCUGAGAGGACGACCAGCCACACUGGGACUGAGACACGGCCCAGACUCCUACGGGAGGCAGCAGUGGGGAAUUUUGGACAAUGGGCGCAAGCCUGAUCCAGCAAUGCCGCGUGAGUGAAGAAGGCCUUCGGGUUGUAAAGCUCUUUUGUCAGGGAAGAAACGGCUGAGGAUAAUACCUUCGGCUAAUGACGGUACCUGAAGAAUAAGCACCGGCUAACUACGUG